UACAUGAAGCUUUGGCUGAUGUGGAAUGAGGAUCAUCUUCCUGCCAACAAAGGCGAAGUCUUUCAUCGUAAUGAAAGAAGGUUUUAUCUGUCCUGCUUGACAUUGACUGCAAAUGAGGAGGCCUGAUGGAUAAAGGUGUGUACCACCAACACCCUGCUGCGGCCUGAUGAAAAGGUCUUAACGAUCUGCAACGCAUGACUAUAAGGCGACACAUGGGUGUUGAGAAAAAAUUAACAGAAAUCAAUGUGGAAGCAGAUGGGGAUUGAUGGAGAAGUCAGAUGCCACAGUAUUAUAAAUGCAGUAGAUGUGUUGGUAUGCAAAUUAAAAACCAUGUGUGAUCUAAAACAUCUUUUAAUGAAAAGAGAUGUAUAAAAAUUCCAGCAUAAUGGCACAUUUUAAAUACACGAAAAGUAACAAAUCUUACUGGGAGCACCCAGCAUGUGUUGGUCAAUCUUUGUUGAAAGAAAAUCUAUAAGAUUUUUUCUUCAAGUUCUCCAAGUAGAUCUGCUCCUCUUGGAGGUAUUCACUGUCCUGUGGGGAGGAGGAGAAAGUAAUUAGGAACCAAGACAAAAACUGAAAUGUUUGGCAUCUUCUGAUGGAAGUGUCAUUGUAGUUAACUAAAUGUGUGAUUGUGGGAAAGUUACAUGUUGUAACUGGCCUGUUUCAUAUUGACAUUAAAAAAACCUCUACAGUAACAACCUA